CCCAAGUGGAGGAGUUCAAGUACCUAGGAGUCUUGUUCACGAGUGAGGGAAGAGUGGAUCGUGAGAUCGACAGGCGGAUCGGUGCGGCGUCUUCAGUAAUGCGGACGUUGUACCGGUCCGUUGUGGUGAAGAAGGAGCUGAGCCGGAAGGCAAAGCUCUCAAUUUACCGGUCGAUCUACGUUCCCAUCCUCACCUAUGGUCAUGAGCUUUGGGUCAUGACCGAAAGGAUAAGAUCACGGGUACAAGCGGCCGAAAUGAGUUUCCUCCGCCGUGUGGUGGGGCUCUCCCUUAGAGAUAGGGUGAGAAGCUCUGCCAUCCGGGAGGAACUCAAAGUAAAGCCGCUGCUCCUUCACAUCGAGAGGAGCCAGAUGAGGUGGUUCGGGCAUCUGGUCAGGAUGGCACCCGAACGCCUCCCUAGGGAGGUGUUUAGGGCACGUCCAACCGGUAGGAGGCCACGGGGAAGACCCAGGACACGUUGGGAAGACUAUGUCUCCCGGCUGGCCUGGGAACGCCUCGGGAUCCCCCGGGAAGAGCUAGACGAAGUGGCUGGGGAGAGGGAAGUCUGGGUUUCCCUGCUUAGGCUGUUGCCCCCGCGACCCGACCUCGGAUAAGCGGAAGAUGAUGGAUGGAUGGAAGUUGUGCUCAUGGGAGAGGCUGGCGAGGGGCUCCAGAAUCCAGGCGCAAAAAAAUGCACGUCGCAAUGAGUUUGGAAGACUUGGGUCACCAGAAGUCAUCCUGUUCCAGUUACGGCCUAAUCUAGAGCGGUGAUUUUCCACUGGUGGGUCAGAAGCCCAACCCAUUUUCAAUAGGUCUUUGUUUGGGGGAAAAAACACCAACUUUUAUGUUGAAUGGGAUUUCUCAUGCAGUUUUGAUCGCUUCUUAAUGUUCAUGCAGUUGGCGACUACUCAGUCUUCGAUAAUCUGUUCAUAGUCUACUGCCAUUAAAAUGUUGAAUGUGCCUAAUGUCUCGCUAAAGCUAAUGGCUGGGGCGUAUACGGGAUUAUAAAUGUAAAUUAGAAAAGAGCUAGCACGUUUGUUUAAAGAGAUUUUGUUUCUGAUGAAUGUCACAGAGAAAU